CAGAAACGGGCUGGGAGCUGGCGAGUAAAACGGGAGGGGGAAGAACUGAGCCUGCUUGUACUGGGGGAAGGAGCCAGCAGAGAAAUGGGGGACAGGUUCAGCAACCCGGAAGCAGAAGCAGAAAAAGUGGCUGGAUCCGUUUCAUCAAGUUUGGACCCUGCCUUACGAGGUCCUCCUCCUGACUGACCCUGAAACAGUACAUAUUGGGCUUCCAUCCAGUCCUUGAAUACAACAAACGUCUUCCUGCCUCUGGACCUUUCUGGAACCCCUGUGGACCUUCAAGGCUGGCUCUUCAUUUUCAUUCAGAUCUCUGUUCACAUGUCACCUCUUCAGAGAGAUCUUCUCCAACCCCUCUGUUGAGGGUGGGUUUCCUCCUCCUGUCUCUAUCACUCACCUUUGUUUUAUUUUCUUCAUAAACAUU